UACGUAGGGUGCGAGCGUUGUCCGGAAUUAUUGGGCGUAAAGGGCUCGUAGGCGGCCAACUAAGUCGGAUGUGAAAUCCCCAGGCUUAACCUGGGAACUGCAUCCGAUACUGGAUGGCUUGAAUUCGGGAGAGGGAUGCAGAAUUCCAGGUGUAGCGGUGAAAUGCGUAGAUAUCUGGAGGAAUACCGGUGGCGAAGGCGGCAUCCUGGACCGACAUUGACGCUGAGGAGCGAAAGCUAGGGGAGCAAACGGGG
rnacentral:rRNA from 1 species